rnacentral:rRNA from 1 species
AGAGUUUGAUCCUGGCUCAGAACGAACGCUGGCGGCAUGCCUAACACAUGCAAGUCGGACGCUUCGCGGGUUUCGGCCCGCGGGGAGUGGCGCACGGGUGAGUAGCGCGUGGGAACCUGUCCCUUUGUGGGGGAUAACCGAGGGAAACUUCGGCUAAUACCGCAUGCGCCCCUGGAGUGAUCCGGGGGGAAAGAUUUAUC